rnacentral:RNase_P_RNA from 1 species
GGAGUGAGCUUGGCGAUCGCUUUCCGCAAGGAGAGAGGAAAGUCCGGGCUCCAUAAGGGCAGGGUGGCCGUUAACGACGGCGCGGAGCGAUCCGCGGAAAGUGGCACAGAAAACAGACCGCCCGAAAGGGUAAGGGUGAAACGGCGGGGUAAGAGCCCACCGGCGCGCGAGUGAUCGUGCGCGCAUGCCAAACCCCACCCGGAGCAAGACCAAAUAGGAGGGUGAGCGGCCCGCUCAUAUCCCUCGGGUAUGGUCGCUAGAGCCGGCGAGCAAUCGCUCGGCCCAGAGGAAUGAUCGCCGCCCGCAAGGGUACAGAACCCGGCUUACGGGCUCACUCCGGCC